GUUUUCGUGAAUGUAUAAUUAUGCAUCAUGAUGGAUUUCAACAUAGCAUACAACAUCGUUUGUCCAACGAAAAGGAGUCUGUACUAUGGGGAUGCCCUUAAUACAGCAUUAAAUCGAACACAGCAUACAAGUAUUUGUCCGACGAAAAGGAGCCUGCACUAUGGAUACAUUGCCAGAAUUAGGUUGCAUUUUCCAAAGUGUGCAAUGUUUUGUUCAAUACAUUCGGACUUGCAGGAGGAAAAAAAGUAUCAAUACAAAUUGUUGUGGUGUUAUUGAGCUUUACUAAGCGCUUGUUGCAGCAAUGUGAUCAACGAUUUAGCUGCUGCUUAUUUCUAUGAUGCAUUUAUUUGGUUUUCUAAAAAAACAGUAUUAUGUCGAAGAAUAUGAACGCAUUCUCGUUAUGGUGUCAAAUUAACAUAUCCUGAUAAAACAUUUAACGAUAUAUAAUACAUGUAGAUGUUAUGAUGUAUUUUGUAUAAAAACAGAAAAAAACAUCAACAUAUUCAUGCAUAUUGUAAAUUUAGUUGAUUCACUACUUAUUUGUUCUUGAUAGAUAUUAACCUCAUAACAUUGUAACUCUCAUUUGUACGAAAAACUGAUUCUGAUAUCGCCGUAUUCUUAUAUAAUAUGCAUACAGUGUAUACCUGAAUAUACAUACAUGGUAUUGAAACAAAAACGCAUGUAGGGAUAUAUACAAAUUCCAUAAAAAUUAAAUUAUUUCGCGUGCAUGUACAAACUGAUUAUUUCUAUGUGUGUUCAUUUUUGCAUUUCAAGCAUUAGGGGGAAUUGAAAACAAAGCGCUAUUUAAAACAUAUUCUAGGGGUUGCAUAAUACGUUGAUUAUAGGGUAAAACUCUAGUUGCUCCAGCGUUUAUUU